CUUUUAAUGCGGCCUAUUGACGGUCUCAAGCCCGAGAAAACGCAGAGAGGAAG
rnacentral:ribozyme from 2 species